rnacentral:rRNA from 1 species
UCUGUUGUUAGGGAAGAACAAGUGCUAGUUGAAUAAGCUGGCACCUUGACGGUACCUAACCAGAAAGCCACGGCUAACUACGUGCCAGCAGCCGCGGUAAUACGUAGGUGGCAAGCGUUAUCCGGAAUUAUUGGGCGUAAAGCGCGCGCAGGUGGUUUCUUAAGUCUGAUGUGAAAGCCCACGGCUCAACCGUGGAGGGUCAUUGGAAACUGGGAGACUUGAGUGCAGAAGAGGAAAGUGGAAUUCCAUGUGUAGCGGUGAAAUGCGUAGAGAUAUGGAGGAACACCAGUGGCGAAGGCGACUUUCUGG